AUACCUCUACUUUGGGAAUGAGAACCUGAAACAUUACAACAAUGCAGGCCUUCUCCGUGGGAACCUCCUUCUUCGUAUGCUCAUCUCCCCCACAAUGUGGCAUGGCGUUCCCCCCUCCUUUUGAGAACUGUGCUUCAUCAUCCAGGGAAGCUUGCAGAAGGUGGGAAGCAUGAAGAGUCUAAUAGAGAUUCAGGUCUUUGUUUCAAAAGGAUAAUUCGUUAAGAGAUAGAAAGUCAGGUAGAAAGGGUCUUCCCAAAACCAAGAGAGAUUUCCCAUUUAGACAGCAGGAGUGAAGACCUGGGUGUAUAGGAGUGGCUGGGUCCUACAUGACACGUCAUGUGCUCAGAAGGUGGGAACAGUGGUAUCAGAGGAUCCUCGCCUUGAGGCUAUGUCCCAAUACCCCAACACAGCCAGGACGCAGUGGACCUGAAGGAAAUCUAGCAGCCAGAAAGAAGGCUCUUAGCUCUGUGUGGACAACUAGCUGAUGGCCAGAAGGAAUCACCUAGUUCUAGCUUGU